UAAUACCGGAUAGAUCAAAGAUAUUGGAAUGUUCCUUGAUCCAAAGCUCCGGCGUCCAAGGAUGGAUCUGCGGCCUAUCCGGUAGUAGUGGGUGUAACGUACCUACUAGCCUACGACGGGUACGGGUUGUGAGAGCAAGAGCCCGGAGAUGGAUUCUGAGACAUGAAUCCAGGCCCUACGGGGCGCAGCAGGCGCGAAAUCUUUACAAUGCAGGAAACUGCGAUAAGGGGACCCCGAGUGCCAGCAUCUAAUGCUGGCUGUCCAGCUGUGUAAAUAGCAGUUGUUAGCAAGGGCCGGGCAAGACCGGUGCCAGCCGCCGCGGUAACACCGGCGGCCCGAGUGGUAACCGAUUUUAUUGGGUUUAAAGGGUCCGUAGCCGGCCUGUUAAGUCUCUUGGGAAAUCUGGCGGCUCAAUCGUCAGGCGUUC
rnacentral:rRNA from 1 species